rnacentral:rRNA from 1 species
GAGUUUGAUCUUGGCUCAGAGUGAACGCUGGCGGCAGGCCUAACACAUGCAAGUCGAACGGCAGCACAGAGGAGCUUGCUCCUUGGGUGGCGAGUGGCGGACGGGUGAGGAAUGCAUCGGAAUCUGCCUAUUUGUGGGGGAUAACGUAGGGAAACUUACGCUAAUACCGCAUACGUCCUACGGGAGAAAGUGGGGGACCGCAAGGCCUCACGCAGAUAGAUGAGCCGAUGCCGGAUUAGCUAGUUGGCGGGGUAAAGGCCCACCAAGGCGACGAUCCGUAGCUGGUCUGAGAGGAUGAUCAGCCACACUGGAACUGAGACACGGUCCAGACUCCUACGGGAGGCAGCAGUGGGGAAUAUUGGACAAUGGGCGCAAGCCUGAUCCAGCCAUGCCGCGUGUGUGAAGAAGGCCU